AUGGGUGCUGUUGAGACUCUGAUAGUAUGGGAGAAUCUUGAUAUCAACAGAUAUUCGCUGAAGCACAGUGUCUCUGGGGAAGUCAUUGUCAAACAUUUGAACAAGGAGCAGGAAGCGGAUCAGAGCAAUUUCCGCGAUAGUGAGACCAAUGCCGAGUUGGAAGUUCAGGAAAAAAUAUCUUUGUUGGAGUGGUUUGCUAAUGAAUACAAGAAGUUCGGCUGCGCGCUCGAGUUCGUCACUAACAAGUCGCAAGAGGGAUCACAAUUCUGCAGAGGAUUCGGUGGCAUUGGUGGUCUGCUGCGCUAUCAGCUAGAUAUGCGGUCUUUUGACGAGGUCUCAGACGAUGAAGGUUUGUAUGAAGACUCUGAUUAG
rnacentral:rRNA from 1 species